CCUACGGGAGGCAGCAGUGGGGAAUAUUGCACAAUGGGGGAAACCCUGAUGCAGCGACGCCGCGUUAGUGAGGAAGUAUUUCGGUAUGUAAAGCUCUAUCAGCAGGGAAGCAAAUGACGGUACCUGUCUAGGAAGCCCCGGCUAACUACGUGCCAGCAGCCGCGGUAAUACGUAGGGGGCAAGCGUUAUCCGGAUUUACUGGGUGUAAAGGGAGCGUAGGCGGCUAAUCAAGUCAGAAGUGAAAACCGAGGGGUUAACUUUGGGACUGCUGUUGAAACUGGGUAGCUAGAGUGCAGGAGAGGUAAGCGGAAUUCGUAGUGUAGCGGUGAAAUGCGUAGAUAUUAGGAGGAACACCAGUGGCGAAGGCGGCGUACUGGAGUGUAACUGACGUUGAGGCUCGAAAGCGUGGGGAGCGAACAGGAUUAGAUACCCUUGUAGUC
rnacentral:rRNA from 1 species